rnacentral:rRNA from 1 species
UACGUAGGGGGCAAGCGUUGUCCGGAUUUAUUGGGCGUAAAGAGCGUGUAGGCGGCCUGACAAGUCUGCUGUGAAAACUCGAGGCUCAACCUCGAGAUGUCGGCGGAAACUGUCUGGCUAGAGUCCGGAAGAGGAGAGUGGAAUUCCUGGUGUAGCGGUGAAAUGCGCAGAUAUCAGGAAGAACACCUAUGGCGAAGGCAGCUCUCUGGGACGGUACUGACGCUGAGACGCGAAAGCCAGGGGAGCGAACGGG